rnacentral:rRNA from 1 species
UGGGGAAUAUUGGACAAUGGGGGGAACCCUGAUCCAGCCAUGCCGCGUGUGUGAAGAAGGCCUUAUGGUUGUAAAGCACUUUAAGCGAGGAGGAGGGUACUGGUAUUAAUACUACCAGGUACUGGACGUUACUCGCAGAAUAAGCACCGGCUAACUCUGUGCCAGCAGCCGCGGUAAUACUGAGGGUGCGAGCGUUAAUCGGAUUUACUGGGCGUAAAGCGUGCGUAGGCGGCUAAUUGAGUCGGAUGUGAAAUCCCCGAGCUUAACUUGGGAAUUGCAUUAGAUACUGGUUAGCUAUAGUGUGGGAGAGGAUGGUAUAAUUCACGGUGUAGCGGUGAAAUGCGUAGUGAUCUGGAGGAAUACCGAUGGCGAAGGCAGCCAUCUGGCACAACACUGACGCUGAGGUACGAAAGCACGGGGAGCAAACAGG